CUGCCAGACCUGGGAACUUCUGUUUAUUAACAGGACAGGUAUAAAACAGUAGCACAGCAGAUGUGCCCACACUGCCCUCUUCAUAGGUCUUCACCCUCAUCCGAAGUAGCCAUCUCCAGGGAAGAGAGGAUAGUUUCCAGGCCGCUUAGCAUCUGGUAUCUUGC
rnacentral:sRNA from 1 species